CACAUCAACCAAAGUCUAAACUUGGUUGGUAUACAUGGAGUUUAUUUCAAAUUUUCUGGUAUUGAGCCAUUUGUCAGAGUCACUACUCAUGACAGCUUUCGAAUAGAUUAUGAGAUCAUCAUUCUCAGUGAUGUGGGAUGUAUUGUCAUUCUCAAUGAUAAAUCCAUACCUGAGUGGUACAUUAUGCACUCUACUUGACCUUC
rnacentral:lncRNA from 1 species